rnacentral:rRNA from 1 species
ACAAAUGCCCUGCUUCCAGGAAAAGCCUCUAAGCAUCAGGUAACAUCAAAUCGUACCCCAAACCGACACAGGUGGUCAGGUAGAGAAUACCAAGGCGCUUGAGAGAACUCGGGUGAAGGAACUAGGCAAAAUGGUGCCGUAACUUCGGGAGAAGGCACGCUGAUAUGUAGGUGAAGCGACUUGCUCGUGGAGCUGAAAUCAGUCGAAGAUACCAGCUGGCUGCAACUGUUUAUUAAAAACACAGCACUGUGCAAACACGAAAGUGGACGUAUACGGUGUGACGCCUGCCCGGUGCCGGAAGGUUAAUUGAUGGGGUUAGCGGUAACGCGAAGCUCUUGAUCGAAGCCCCGGUAAACGGCGGCCGUAACUAUAACGGUCCUAAGGUAGCGAAAUUCCUUGUCGGGUAAGUUCCGACCUGCACGAAUGGCGUAAUGAUGGCCAGGCUGUCUCCACCCGAGACUCAGUGAAAUUGAACUCGCUGUGAAGAUGCAGUGUACCCGCGGCAAGACGGAAAGACCCCGUGAACCUUUACUAUAGCUUGACACUGAACAUUGAGCCUUGAUGUGUAGGAUAGGUGGGAGGCUUUGAAGUGUGGACGCCAGUCUGCAUGGAGCCGACCUUGAAAUACCACCCUUUAAUGUUUGAUGUUCUAACGUGGGCCCCUAAUCGGGGUUGCGGACAGUGUCUGGUGGGUAGUUUGACUGGGGCGGUCUCCUCCUAAAGAGUAACGGAGGAGCACGAAGGUUGGCUAAUCCUGGUCGGACAUCAGGAGGUUAGUGCAAUGGCAUAAGCCAGCUUGACUGCGAGCGUGACGGCGCGAGCAGGUGCGAAAGCAGGUCAUAGUGAUCCGGUGGUUCUGAAUGGAAGGGCCAUCGCUCAACGGAUAAAAGGUACUCCGGGGAUAACAGGCUGAUACCGCCCAAGAGUUCAUAUCGACGGCGGUGUUUGGCACCUCGAUGUCGGCUCAUCACAUCCUGGGGCUGAAGUAGGUCCCAAGGGUAUGGCUGUUCGCCAUUUAAAGUGGUACGCGAGCUGGGUUUAGAACGUCGUGAGACAGUUCGGUCCCUAUCUGCCGUGGGCGCUGGAGAACUGAGGGGGGCUGCUCCUAGUACGAGAGGACCGGAGUGGACGCAUCACUGGUGUUCGGGUUGUCAUGCCAAUGGCACUGCCCGGUAGCUAAAUGCGGAAGAGAUAAGUGCUGAAAGCAUCUAAGCACGAAACUUGCCCCGAGAUGAGUUCUCCCUGAGACUUAGAGUCUCCUGAAGGAACGUUGAAGACGACGACGUUGAUAGGCCGGGUGUGUAAGCGCAGCGAUGCGUUGAGCUAACCGGUACUAAUGAACCGUGAGGCUUAACCUUACAACGCCGAAG